rnacentral:rRNA from 1 species
GACACCACUCGCCCGCCUCUCUUUUUUUCCUUCCCCUAACCUGGAAGCGACAAGGGGUGGCGAGCGGACUCUGCGUGUUCCGGAGCAACUCUCCGACGCCUUCAUUGCGCGUCGGGAAGACCCUCCGAGUGCACCUAAUCUCGUGAACGAAACCUCUCUUCUGCCCGCGGCCCUUGGGUUGCGCAGAGUUGUUGACGGCGCUCGUGCCCCUGUUCAUUUUACAGGGGUGCGGCGACUCUCGGCUCGAUCAAAAGCGCGACCCGGCGUCCUCCGUGGUGGAAAGAAAAGGGUGGUUUGUUGUUGUUUUUUUCCGGCGGGGCGGCCCCSUGGCUCCUCGGCGUUUUACUACUUUCGUUCG